rnacentral:rRNA from 1 species
AUUGAACGCUGGCGGCAGGCCUAACACAUGCAAGUCGAACGAGUGGCGGAGGGGUGAGUAAUGUCUGGGAAACGGCCUGAGGGAGGGGGAUAACUACGGGAAACGGUAGCUAAUACCGCAUAGUAUCGGAGGUGCCCAGAUGGGAUUAGCUAGUAGGGGGGGUAAAGGCUAACCGAGGCAACGAUCCCUAGCUGGUUUGAGAGGAUGACCAGCCACACUGGCACUGAGCCGCGGCCCAGACUCCUACGGGAGGCAGCAGUGGGGAAUUUUGGACAAUUGGCGCAAGCCUGAUGCAGCCAUGCCGCGUGUAUGAUGAAGGCCUUCGGGUUGUAAAGUACUUUCAGCGGGGGGGCGUUACCCGCAGAAGAAGCACCGGCUAACUACGUGCCAGCAGCCGCGGUAAUUC